UGGGCCUUUCUUCCUUAUUUCCUGAUAACCCCCUACAUAAACAGAUAAACAACAAAACUCGUGGAAUUCUGUCAUAUCAAACACUAAUUCUAGGUGUUGUUUGUAUAAUGGUCCUUUCCCUUGUUUAUUUGAUAAGUAAAAUUGAUACUUAAGAACCGUCAACAAACACCCCCAUACUUAGGCUUUUACUCGUCCUCGAGAAAAGGAUGGUUAAGAAAAAUAUCUGGGGUUAAAACAUUGUAAAGCAUUUUCUUCAUACCUGCAGGGUGUUGUAAAAAUUUCACUGUGUACCGUAGUCAGGGAAAUAUAUGAUUAAGAGUAGAUGUCCUUUCUUCUCAAUCCUGUCACUUGGAGUUUUUGUAUAUUUUUGAAAAGAAAUUUUAGCAUACCUUUAUCCUCAUAGGUUCUCUCAGGUCACUCAUUAUCUUUUAUAUCUCACUGAAGUUGUUUUAAGUUGCAAAAAUUCUCAAGCAUACUUACCAUGCAUUUAUUACCUGAUCAAAACGGGAUCCGAGGAGGGGAAUGUCAUACUCUUAGAUCAAAGACUUUGGAAGUUAAAAACUUGUCAACUCUUGCUGGCAUAUUGCUUAUUAGAGGGACCAUGGGCUAUCAUUUUCUUUCUUUUCUAUUUUUUUUUAGGUGGAUACCGAGGUACCCCUAAUUCUACUGCCGAACACUUGUCCAUUUUUUCUACGAGGUUGUCGAGCACUUGCUCCUUUUUAUUUCCUCGAAAUAUCCUUAUUUUUGCAUAGCCCAUGCCUCUAACGCAAUAAUACUUCGGAAGAGUGAAUCUAUCUGAAUAAAUGUCUUGAUCUUAGGAGUAUGAUAAAUCUCUCAACAAGCGUCUAACUCAUUUUGAACAAACUCAAUAUAGAGCAGAUAGCUUUUAUAAUUAUUAAUAUUUUUAGGUUUAGUAGGCAUAUAAAACAUUGAGCAUGGUAGCUAUAAUUUUUGAAAUAAAUUCUCCAAGCAGCAAUGAUAUCAAGAAUAAGAUACUCAUACUCUACCAUCUCACAUUCCACAAUGACUUAAGUAACACAGGGUUUUAAAAUGAUUUCUCAAUAAUUGCAGGUUUUCAGGAAAUAUCACAGAGUGAGAUUAAUCAUGAUUAGAAACAUUUUAAUCUUUUAAUUUAUCAUGUCGAAGACAAUAUUCUGCAUAAUCCAAGAUAUAUGUGUGUAAAGUGUGCAGAGUAUGUACCUGGAUCAUGGAGUGGUGUAGUCGAAGUGUGUUUGGCAUGUCGAGGGAUCUCCCCCAUACUUGUUUUCUCCUUUCUUGCAUAAAAAUAAAGUAGAGAAACACAAGACAUAAUAAUAAUAAUCUUUAUUAAUCUCGAGGCAUUUAUUACAAAUGACUAGUAAUGAACUGAAGCUAAUAGUAAAUCUAAACCGAAUUUAAAGAUAAAUAACUAAGAUGCAUUGCCUCAAGAUCUAAUUUAGAUAACUUAGUGGCGCUCUAACUCCCUGA
rnacentral:lncRNA from 1 species